rnacentral:rRNA from 1 species
AAAGGAAUUGACGGGGGCCCGCACAAGCGGAGGAACAUGUGGUUUAAUUCGAUGAUACGCGAGGAACCUUACCUGGGUUUAAAUGGGAAGUGACAGACUUGGAAACAGGUUUUUCUUCGGACACUUUUCAAGGUGCUGCAUGGUUGUCGUCAGCUCGUGCCGUGAGGUGUCGGGUUAAGUCCCAUAACGAGCGCAACCCCUAUUGUCAGUUACCAGCACGUAAUGGUGGGGACUCUGGCAAGACUGCCGGUGUAAACCGAGAGGAAGGUGGGGAUGACGUCAAAUCAGCACGGCCCUUACAUCCAGGGCUACACACGUGUUACAAUGGCCGGUACAAAGGGCCGCUACCUCGCGAGAGGAUGCGAAUCUUAAAAGCCGGUCUCAGUUCGGAUCGGAGUCUGCAACCCGACUCCGUGAAGCUGGAUUCGCUAGUAAUCGCGCAUCAGCCAUGGCGCGGUGAAUACGUUCCCGGGCCUUGUACACACCGCCCGUCAAGCCAUGGAAGCCGGGGGUACCUGAAGUAUGUAACCGCAAGGAGCGUCCUAGGGUAAAACUGGUGACUGGGGCUAAGUCGUAACAAGGUAGCCGUACCGGAAGGUGUGGCUGGAACACCUCCUUUCUGGAGC